GACGAACGCUGGCGGCGUGCCUAAUGCAUGCAAGUCGAACGAGGCCCUCGAGACGGGUAACCGUCUUGAGGGUUCUAGUGGCGAACGGGUGAGUAACACGUGAGGAACCUGCCCCGGAAUCCGGGAUAGCCCAGGGAAACUUGGAGUAAUACCGGGAUACCCUCGGACGGUCACAUGGUCGACCGAGGAAAGGUCAGCCGUUCCGGGAUGGCCUCGCGACCUAUCAGCUUGUUGGUGAGGUAACGGCCCACCAAGGGCUACGACGGGUAGCUGGUCUGAGAGGACGAUCAGCCACACUGGGACUGAGACACGGCCCAGACUCCUACGGGAGGCAGG
rnacentral:rRNA from 1 species